AACAAUAGAGGGCGCGUUUAUGAAAGCGCCCUCUAAGGAUACCCUUAGAGGGCGCUUCUAAGAAAGCGCUCUCUAAGUCCAUGUACAACAGCGCACUUUAGAGGGCGCUUUAUUACAAAAGCGCUGUCUAAAGUGAAGCGAAAAAAUAAGGAGCAAUAGACAGCGCACCUUAGAGGGCGCUUUUUUUCCACAAGCGCCCUCU
rnacentral:lncRNA from 1 species